GGAUGCGAUCAUACCAGCACUAAAGCACCGGAUCCCAUCAGAACUUCGAAGUUAAGCGUGCUUGGGCGAGUGUAGUACUAGGAUGGGUGACCUCCUGGGAAGUCCUAGUGUUGCAUUCC
rnacentral:rRNA from 1 species